UCCGCCAGGGUACUACGAGCGCUAGCUUAAAACCCAAAGGACUUGACGGUGUCUCAGACCCACCUAGAGGAGCCUGUCCUAGAACCGAUAAUCCACGUUUAACCUCACCACCCUUUGUUCCCCCAGCCUAUAUACCGCCGUCGCAAGCUUACCCUAUGAAGGAUAAACAGUAAGCAAAAUGGAUAAACUCCAAAACGUCAGGUCGAGGUGUAGCUCACGGGGUGGGAAGAGAUGGGCUACAUUUUCUAUAUCAGAAUACACGGACGACACUAUGAAACUAGUGCCUAAAGGUGGAUUUAGUAGUAAAAA
rnacentral:rRNA from 1 species